rnacentral:lncRNA from 1 species
CCACGUGCUGUUGAAGGGUCUGCCAAACUUGAGCAGGAGAACAUCCAGACGUCCAGAGCCAUUGACUCCGGAGGGUCUCGCUGGGACCUGAUUCCUUUUCAGAUACAAUGCCAAGCGUUAUUUAGGUGUUACCUUCCUCCGCCCCACCUUUGGCCUGAGCGUGGGAAUAUUCAGUUGUCCCAGUUGGAUCCAUAGUGAACUCCAAUUCCGACUUCCUUUUAUUUAGGAAACAAAGGAAUCUAUUUCUUCUAGGAAAUGGGAGGCUUUAUCUGUCUCGUUUACCACUGCAACCCUGGCACCAAAUGCAAUGCCUGAUAUAUAGUCUCUAUCUGUGGAAGUCAGCCUUCAAGAUGGCCCCCAAUGAUCUCUGCCUCUUGUUCCCACCCUUGUGAAGUCCCCUCCUCUAUUGUACCAAGCCAACCUCCGUCUUGUGAGCAGCCCUGUGAGAGACCCAGGUGGUGGGGAGCUCAAGUCUCUGGCCAACAUCCUGCAAGGAGCUGAAGCUUGUCAAUACAUGAGCUUGAAGGUGGGUCCUGCAGCCCCUGUUGAGUCUUCAGAUGCCUGCAGCUCUGGCUGACCAUUCCACUGCAACCCAGCUAAGCCAUUCCCAGAAACUGUGAGAUAACAAAUGUCUGUUGUUUUAUAUUGCUAAGAUUUGGAGCAAUUUGUUGCUCAGCAAUAGAUAAAUUAAUUCACUAUCAAAAGUGGGGGGAAGAGGUAAAUCGAGAGUGCCAUGUAGUUCAAGAAAAAUUAAGAAAGAGCAUAUUUAUCUGUGGAAGUAAAGAAUAUUUGUAUCAUUAUGAAACCUGCCAUAGUUAGAACUGUGACUGGUAUAUGGGAAAGGUGAGAGGUGAUAAUCUUAAUGAACCGGGCCUGUUUCGUUUCUGUUCACGGUCUCCUUGGCCCCUCUAGGUUUUGAGUCUUCCAAGCUUGCUGUAAAGCAGUGGUUUUCCAACUGUUUUUGACCUUGGCCCCUGCCCCUCCUCCCCCAAGAAGUAUAUUAAGUGCAUUUCACUGUGACCCAGUACCCCACGAGCACACACAAAUGAAACAAAAGUUUCACCGGAACAGUACUCACUGUUACUGUAAUUCUCUGUUCUCCUCUAUUCCUUUACAUUUUUGAAACCUUUUUAUUUUGAAAUUAUUAUAGACUCCCAGGAAGUUGCAGACAGUACACUGAAGUCCCCAGCAUGCUCAGUGGUAACGUCUUAUAUAACUAUAAUGCUGUAUCAAAACCCAGAAACUGACAUUGGCGCAAUUUAUAGACCUUUUCCAGAUUUCACCAAUUGUUAUAUGCAUUGUGUGUGUGUGUAGUUCUGUGAAAUUUUAUCACAUGUAUAGAGUUGUACAACCACCGCAAUC